rnacentral:rRNA from 1 species
ACACGUAGGGGGCGAGCGUUGUUCGGAAUCAUUGGGCGUAAAGGGCGUGCAGGCGGUCCUGCAAGUCCGGCGUGAAAGACCCCGGCCCAACCGGGGGGACGCGCUGGAAACUGCAGGGCUUGAGUACAGGAGGGGAUGCCGGAAUUCCAGGUGUAGGGGUGAAAUCUGGAGAUAUCUGGAAGAACACGAAUGGCGAAGGCAGGCAGCUGGCCAUGUACUGACGCUGAGACGCGAAGGUGCGGUGAGCAAACAGGUUUAGAUACCCUGGUAGUCCGCACAGUAAACGAUGUGCACCAGGUGGCGGGGGGUCGACCCCCGGUACCGUAGCUAACGCAUUAAGUGCACCGCCUGGGGAGUAUGCUCGCAAGGGUGAAACUCAAAGGAAUUGACGGGG